UUACUAGGGCGUAAAGGGCACGCAGGUGGUAAGUUAAGUUGAUUUGUGAAAUCCCUGGGCUCAACCUAGGAAAGCAUUCAAAACUAAUUUACUAGAGUCUUGUAGGGGGGAAUAGAAUUCCAUGUGUAGCGGUGAAAUGCGUAGAGAUAUGGAGGAAUACCGAUAGCGAAGGCAAUUCCCUGGACAAAGACUGACACUCAUGUGCGAAAGCAUGGGGAGCAAACAGGAUUAGAUACCCUGGUAGUCCAUGCUGUAAACGAUGUCGAUUAGGAGGUUGCUACGUUUAAGUAGUGACUUCCGAAGCUAACGCAUUAAAUCGACCGUCUGGGGAGUACGGCCGCAAGGUUAAAACUCAAAUGAAUUGACGGGGGCCCGCACAAGCGGUGGAGCAUGUGGUUUAAUUCGAUGCAACGCGAAAAACCUUACCUACUCUUGACAUCCAAAGAAAUCUGCAGAGAUGUAGAUGUGCCUUCGGGAACUUUGAGACAGGUGCUGCAUGGCUGUCGUCAGCUCGUGUUGGUGAAAUGGUKGGGUUAAGUCCCGCAACGAGCGCAACCCUUAUUCUUUGUUGCCAUCGAUUCGGUCGGGAACUCAAAGAAGACUGCCGGUAAUAAACCGGAGGAAGGAGAGGACGACGUCAAGUCAUCAUGGCCCUUACGAGUAGGGCUACACACGUGCUACAAUGGCGUAUACAGAGAGAAGCGAACUCGUAAGAGUGAGCCAAACUAAAAAAGUACGUCACAGUCCGGAUUGGAGUCUGCAACUCGACUCCAUGAAGUAGGAAUCGCUAGUAAUCGCGAAUCAGCAUGUCGCGGUGAAUACGUUCUCGGGCCUUGUACACACCGCCCGUCACACCAUGGGAGUGGGUUGUAAAAGAAGCAGGUAGCUUAACCUG
rnacentral:rRNA from 2 species